rnacentral:ribozyme from 10 species
UUUUUUUUCUUUUUUUCGUGCCUUUUUCUCACUCGUGCUCGUCGGAAUUUUCUUCAAGCGUGGCAAGCCAGCCUGA